rnacentral:rRNA from 1 species
GAGUUUGAUCAUGGCUCAGAUUGAACGCUGGCGGCAGGCUUAACACAUGCAAGUCGAACGGUAGCAGGAGAAAGCUUGCUUUCUUGCUGACGAGUGGCGGACGGGUGAGUAAUGCUUGGGAAUCUGGCUUAUGGAGGGGGAUAACUACUGGAAACGGUAGCUAAUACCGCGUAAUAUCGAGAGAUUAAAGACUGGGACCUACGGGCCAGUUGCCAUAAGAUGAGCCCAAGUGGGAUUAGGUAGUUGGUGGGGUAAAGGCCUACCAAGCCCGCGAUCUCUAGCUGGUCUGAGAGGAUGACCAGCCACACUGGAACUGAGACACGGUCCAGACUCCUACGGGAGGCAGCAGUGGGGAAUAUUGCACAAUGGGGGGAACCCUGAUGCAGCCAUGCCGCGUGAAUGAAGAAGGCCUUCGGNUUGUAAAGUUCUUUCGGUGGUGAGGAAGGUAUCAACUUUAAUAGAGUUGGUAAUGACGUUCCC